rnacentral:rRNA from 1 species
UACGUAGGGUCCGAGCGUUGUCCGGAAUUACUGGGCGUAAAGAGCUCGUAGGUGGUUUGUCGCGUUGUCCGUGAAAACUCACAGCUCAACUGUGGGCGUGCGGGCGAUACGGGCAGACUGGAGUACUGCAGGGGAGACUGGAAUUCCUGGUGUAGCGGUGGAAUGCGCAGAUAUCAGGAGGAACACCGGUGGCGAAGGCGGGUCUCUGGGCAGUGAA